GCUCAACCGGGGAGGGUCAUUGGAAACUGGGAAACUUGAGUGCAGAAGAGGAGAGUGGAAUUCCACGUGUAGCGGUGAAAUGCGUAGAGAUGUGGAGGAACACCAGUGGCGAAGGCGACUCUCUGGUCUGUAACUGACGCUGAGGAGCGAAAGCGUGGGGAGCGAACAGGAUUAGAUACCCUGGUAGUCCACGCCGUAAACGAUGAGUGCUAAGUGUUAGGGGGUUUCCGCCCCUUAGUGCUGCAGCUAACGCAUUAAGCACUCCGCCUGGGGAGUACGGUCGCAAGACUGAAACUCAAAGGAAUUGACGGGGGCCCGCACAAGCGGUGGAGCAUGUGGUUUAAUUCGAAGCAACGCGAAGAACCUUACCAGGUCUUGACAUCCUCUGACAACCCUAGAGAUAGGGCUUUCCCUUCGGGGACAGAGUGACAGGUGGUGCAUGGUUGUCGUCAGCUCGUGUCGUGAGAUGUUGGGUUAAGUCCCGCAACGAGCGCAACCCUUGAUCUUAGUUGCCAGCAUUCGGUUGGG
rnacentral:rRNA from 1 species